rnacentral:rRNA from 1 species
UACGUAGGGUGCAAGCGUUAAUCGGAAUUACUGGGCGUAAAGCGUGUGCAGGCGGUUAUGUAAGACAGGUGUGAAAUCCCAGGGCUUAACCUUGGAACUGCAUUUGUGACUGCAUAGCUAGAGUACGGUAGAGGGGGAUGGAAUUCCGCGUGUAGCAGUGAAAUGCGUAGAUAUGCGGAGGAACACCGAUGGCGAAGGCAAUCCCCUGGACCUGUACUGACGCUCAUGCACGAAAGCGUGGGGAGCAAACAGG